rnacentral:lncRNA from 1 species
GUCUGUUAAAAAUAAAGAUGAAUUAGACUCACCUUAGACAGAUUGACUCAAAAUCUCUGGAGGGAACCCAGGAACCUUCAUUCUAACAAGAACCCCCAGGUGGUUCUUAGCACUUCAAAGUUGGGGAGCCUCUGCUUCCAUCGGAAAGCAUCAAGCAACAAUGGCCAUAAUAGAAAUGCUACUAUCAAUGGGACAGAAAAGAUACCUGGGAAAGAUUGCUCCUGUUGGCUGUGACAGCUUCUCUGACUUUGUUUGUGAUGACUUCGAGAGUCUUAAGGAGAAAUCAUCGGCUAUUUUGUAGAAUGGCCCUCAAGUGUGGUUUUGGCAGGUGAUUUUCUCAUGAUUGGACUGGGGUUGUGGGUUUUUGGAAGGAAGAAUACAGACAUAGUCAUUUCCAUAACAUCCAUUCACUUCAAAGGUGUCAUUCAGGAGCUCUCUUCAUGCCCACAAUAUUCCCCCUUCUAAUUGAAUUCUCAAAGUAGAAUCAGAUCAAUACAGAACCCUGAAGGUAUCGUGAUUGAGAAGGCUCUCAGCUGCACCUGCUACUGGAAUUAUACCUGUGAUCAGAAGCUCCUGUUUUUAUUUCGACAAAGAAAUGGAAUUCAUAAAAUAGAGUAACAGACUGCCCCAUAAAGGAGAGUAUGGUGGUGAACUCUCAAGAACUAUUGCAAUUAUUUCCUAGAAGGAAGGAGAUACAGAAAUAUAAGAAACGAAUGCAAAGAAGGCAAGGAGAGCAAAAAAGAACAGGAGGAAGGAAGAGUGAAAGGAUGAAGAAGAGAGAAGAAUAUAGUGUUCAUUGAGUAUCUGCUCAAAUUAAGGAUAAAGCCACAUGUUUUCGUAAAUUUUCUCUAAUAUCCAUAGCAAUCUAGUAUCCAUAGCCAAACAAAUAAGUGACUUCCACUUAACAAAGGAACUGAAGCCCAAAAAAGUUAAUAUGGACGAGUCACACAGCAACUGGGAUUGAAGCUGAAUAAAUCUAGCUCCAAGGCAUUCUCUUGUAGGCUGCUCUUCUCAUGUCUGCUAGGAUUACAUGGGUCAAGCACAACCCUGUCAGGUUUCAGUGAUCAGAAGGACAGAACCUUGCUGUUAGACAGAAACUAGGGUCUCUAUACUGGGCCAACUCCUUGUUCUCAAACUCAGGAGCUGGAAUUGCCAGACCUUGGAACCAGCUGACUGGAGACUGUGUCCCCAUUAAAGGAAAUGUCCAGGAUUUCAUUUCAUGUUAUGUCCCCCCCCACCGCCCCACCUCUUCCUCCUUAGUGCUUUCUUUCUCUCUGAUAUCAGCUCUGCUACAGUUUGAGGCAAGGGUUGGGACUAGAAUUGUAGUUUUUUGAAUCUCAGUGUGGUUGCUUUUGGUACUUGUUGAGGCCUCCAUGUAGUCAAAUUCAUUAUCGUAUAUAAAGUUACAAUUAAGAGUUGGAAAUAAUAUAUGAAGAUCAGAUGGAGGAUGUGAGGCUACAAAUCCCUGACAUCUACCUCUACAUAGCUAAUCUGUGAAAUGGGAUUAUCAUGGUAUGAUGUGUCCAGAGCGGUCCUCAUUAUGUCAUCCUUUCAGUCUAUUAGUAAGAUGUUUUGAAGGCAUUACUAGAAAGCAUUCAGUAGAUAUAAACUAUAUGACCCUAGAAAGGAAUUCACAUGCCUGGUACAUUGAACAAUCAUCACUGAGGUUGCUCAAUAGGGCUGAUAAGGACUCCAGGGAAAUAAGCUAGCAUAGGUGUAGGGGUAAGGGAACUGAAGUCAGUGUGCUUGACUCUAUGUUCCAGCUUUGACUAAAUUUCCUGGUUCUUCAUUUUCUCAGUUUUAAAACAAAUGAAGAUGAUAAAAAAGAGCUUUCUUAUGGCCAUUCUCUGCCUAAUACUUCAUGUCCCAUAACAGCAGCUCUGAGCAAGUAUCUAGCUCCCUUAGAGUUUUUUGAUGGCCUCCUUUGAUGCUCCCUGCUAUUCUUGGGAUAAACCCUAAAGUCUUGAGGUGAUCUGUGGGGUUCCUUCUUCUCUGUGCCCUAGCUAUCUUUGAGCCUCAGUUUUUAUUUGCUUCCCCCUUCUACCCUCAGGUUUGUCAUGCUGCCUUAUGGGCAGGGCCCCUGUGCCUGAAUCCCCACCUCACCUACCUCUUCCUGCUUAGUGCUUUCUUUCUCUCUGAUAUCAGGUCUGCUACACUUUUCUAAGGAAAGCAGUUCUGACCCUUUUAUGCAUGUCAAUUCUCCUUCUGUUAUAUGUCUUAUUUACCACAUAACUCUUGGAAUCAUUUUAUUAUGUUGCUGUUGAUUUGUGAGUUACCUUUUUUUUUUUAAA